rnacentral:tRNA from 1 species
GGGCGAUUAGCUCAGUGGUAGAGCGACUCGUUUACACCGAGUAGGCCGUAGGUUCAAUCCCUACAUCGC